rnacentral:rRNA from 1 species
CAGUAGCCGCGGUAAUACGGAGGGUGCAAGCGUUAAUCGGAAUUACUGGGCGUAAAGCGCACGCAGGCGGUCUGACAAGUCAGAUGUGAAAUCCCCGGGCUUAACCUGGGAACUGCAUUUGAAACUGUCAGGCUGGAGUCUUGUAGAGGGGGGUAGAAUUCCAGGUGUAGCGGUGAAAUGCGUAGAGAUCUGGAGGAAUACCGGUGGCGAAGGCGGCCCCCUGGACAAAGACUGACGCUCAGGUGCGAAAGCGUGGGGAGCAAACAGGAUUAGAUACCGUGUAGUCCCUGUCUCUUAUACA